CCUACGGGUGGCUGCAGUGAGGAAUAUUGGUCAAUGGCCGGAAGGCUGAACCAGCCAAGCCGCGUGAGGGAGGAAGGCGCUGAGCGUCGCAAACCUCUUUUGCCGGGGGACAAAAGGCCGGACUCGUCCGGUCCUGAGGGUACCCGGAGAAAAAGCCUCGGCCAACUCCGUGCCAGCAGCCGCGGUAAUCCGAAGGAUGCGAGCGUUCUCCGGAUUCAUUGGGGUUAAAGGGUGCGCAGGCGGGCGUGUAAGUCGGCGGUGAAAGCGGGGGGCUCAACCCCGCCCAGCCGUUGAAACUGGGGGCCUGGAGUGCGGCGGAGGCAUGCGGAAUGCGCGGUGUAGCGGUGAAAUGCAUAGAUAUCACGCAGAACCCCGAUUGCGAAGGCAGCGUACCGUGCCGCCACUGACGCUGAGGCACGAAAGCGCGGGGAUCGAACAGGAUUAGAUACCCUAGUAGUC
rnacentral:rRNA from 1 species